AGGUAAGGUGGGGCGGUAGAAGUCAGGAUGAUGCAGGAAAUACUGUUGGUGAAGAGGUGGAACAGGCAGAGCAGAUAUGAUAACUGUGCUUGCCAUGGGAUGGAACCAUAGGAAGGUGGAGAGUCUUCAUAAGACACUAGCGAAAAGAUUUGUCAAAACUACACAGAGAGCAGAAAUGGAAGCAGCCAAUCUUGAGUGUCUCAAGCUGGAGUUCAGCGUCUCUGUGGAAGAUGUGGAUCGGUGGGUGAAAGAUGUUAAGCACUGGGCUGCCACUG